rnacentral:lncRNA from 1 species
CCGACAGCAGCUCGCUGACCAUGUCUGCCCUUUUCCCGCUCAUCCCCCAGGUCAGUCACCUUCUCCAUGUGCAUUGAUUCCAACCCCACCACCCACCCCACCCUUCCCUGACCUCCUCUGCCCCUGCAGCUCAGCCGGGUGCUCCCUGGCUCUCUGCCACUGGAGCUGCGUGUCCGAGUAAGCAACGAGCCGGUGGUGACUGUGAGGGAUGGAAGAGCCACCGUCACCCUCAAGGCCACAAUCGACUUCAUCAGUCCUGCCCUGCAGAGCCCCCAGGGGCUCCUGUUCUCCCUCGAUGUGGACAUCGUUCUGAACAUCACUCCAUCAGUCUCUGAUGGCAAACUGCAAACCUCCCUGGCUCUUGACAGCAUCAACCUGACACGUUUCCCCCCGAGUCUCGACGCUCCCGCUGCCUCCUCGCUCACAGAAUGGCUCAAGAAGGUCCUCACAGCUAUAUAUGUACCUUCUCUUAAAGGUAUGGGG